UUGUGGCUCUAUUGGUUUUGUGUUCCUUCUUGUUAUGUCAAUUCAUACAACUACAAUAUUCAUGUAAUACUUGGUAUUAUUUUUCUUUUUUCUUGUAGGUAGAAAAUGAAUAUGGUUAUUAUGAACAAUCAUAUGGAGAUGGAGGGAAGAAAUAUGCCUUGUGGGCUGCCAAUAUGGCUCUUUCUCAGAACAUAGGUGUGCCUUGGAUAAUGUGCCAGCAGUGGGAUACACCUGAUCCUGUUAUAAAUACUUGUAAUGGAUUCUACUGUGAUGAAUUUACUCCAAGUUCUUCCAAAAGUCCGAAGAUUUGGACUGAGAACUGGCCUGGAUGGUUCAAAACAUUUGGCGACGUGGAUCCUCACAGAC